CCCGGUGAUAUUAAUUUAACGGCCGCGGUAUCCUGACCGUGCAAAGGUAGCAUAAUCAUUUGCCUUUUAAUUGGAGGCUGGUAUGAAUGGAUAUACGAGAUUAACACUGUCUCUUUUUUACAUAUAUAAAUUAGUUUUCAGGUGAAGAAACCUGAAUUAUGAUGAAGGACAAAAAGACCCUAUUGAGCUUUAUUUUUAACGGAUAUUUUUGAUUCAUUUACUUUAUAACCUAAUAAAAUUUGGUUGGGGCGACAUAGGAAUAAAAAAAUCUUCCUUUUAUUUAAUGAAUUUUUUUCUUUUAAAUGAUCUAUUGAGAUGAUAAAAAGAACUAGUUACCAUAGGGAUAACAGGCUAAUUUUUCCAGAGAGUUCAAAUUGACGGGAAAGUUUGGCACCUCGAUGUUGGCUUAGAAUAUCCUGUAGGUGUAGCAGUCUGCAAGGGUUGGUUUGUUCAACCAUUAAAAUUCU
rnacentral:rRNA from 1 species